rnacentral:misc_RNA from 1 species
ACACCCUUCACCGUUAAUAUAGUUUCAAAACAAACAUUAGACUGUGGCUCUAAAAAUAGGAGUUAAAAUCUCCUUAUAAACCGAGAGAGGUAUUAUACAAUAAGAACUGCUAACUCCUAUAU